rnacentral:pre_miRNA from 1 species
GGAGGGCCACCCGGGACCCAGGAGAGGGCAGCCUGGGCUGCCGUGGGCAUCAGCUGGCCCUCAUCUCUGAAGACAACCAUUCC